rnacentral:lncRNA from 1 species
UUCUACCAUCCAUGAAUGCAAGCUUUGCUCGCUUUUGAAUUUUAUCAACCACAAAAUUUGCCCAAUGUCGGUCUCCUACCUGCAGUAAAUAAGGACCCCUUCCGUGAAGUCUGUUCCAACCCUGAGCCUCUCCACCUUCGAGAUUGGCCGCAGAUGCCCCGACGGGAUGGCCUGGGGAGCCGAAAGCCGUCCCCAGCCCGGGACAGCUACUGCCCACGCCGCGCAGGCCAGCCUCGCGCAGUAGCGAAUCUCCUUCACGCGACUCCCUCGCCGGCCUGUGAACCCGCAGGGGAGGCGGAGGUCGGUUCAAACCCUGCGAGAGCCCCUGCCCAGCGCCGAGUCCUGCACACGGUGGAAAGUCCUUACGCAUUAGCGGGCAGGAUUAAACGACUUCACACCACGAGGUGCAAGACUGGGCUUCGGGGCCUUCCUCGGUGUUGCUAUUUUAAAAGAAGCUGCUCAAUAACCCAGAAGAAGAUGACGGGGGACGGUGGUGUAGACCCGGCUGGAGAAGAGUCCAGGGCCUGGGAGGCGCCCCCUCCGACUGAGGGGCUGGGGACCCUGAAGCUUGGGGUCCAGGCCCCGCCAGCGCUGCACCCGGCAUUGUCCCGCCUGGGGCAGGCGUCCGGUCCCUCGGCAAUGCCGGCCAGCACGUAGUAGCUGCUGAAUAAAU